rnacentral:miRNA from 1 species
AUUCUCACCUUACUGUAUGAGUGCUCUGCCUAAAUGUGUCUGUACACCACACUAAGGCAGAAUACUCAUACAGUAAGGUGAGAAU